CAGAAAGUAGCAUAGAUGUUGUGUGGUUUUGGAAUACGCUCGCAUUUCCGUACGAUAAUUCGAAACACCUUUGCCCGAGUGAAAACAAACGAAACGGUAUACAGCGCGUACAAUUGAUAUUCUGCGUGUGAUAGUCAACAUAUCAUCAUCAUCAUUAUUAUGGUGAUGAUGAGGAUAAUAAUAAUGAAUAUAAAUACAAUAGGUGUGAUGAUGUAUGAAUGUUAAGUCGUAUGAGAAGAUAAAAAGAAGAAAAUAAUCAAAUAGAAUUCCGGUGAAUGGCAACAAAAGGAAAAGUAAUAGAAAAUAAAAUGAAUAAUGUGUGCGAAGUGCAGGUGUUGGCAAUGUGAAACCCAUCAAGUAUCCUUGUAAAGAGGAUAAUACAGUUUCAUUACAUUAUGCAAAAUAUAGUUAAAUUGAAUGAGUAACAGCCAAAUAUUAAAGGCUCUCAAAAAUGGUUUCUGUUAUUUUUUAUUACAAGCAAUAACAACAGCAACACAAAACCCUUUGCACUGACCCUAAUAGUCAGCAGUGUCCUUUUAGGCGGAAGAAUCGCUUCCAGCUCUGUGAUUGUCCAAAAAUUCAUAAAUAGAAUUUAUGGAAAGUUAUAAUUAAAGAAGUCAAAUUUUGAAAAUAUCCUGCAAAUUCCAUUACAUUUGAUAUGUGUCAUAAAAAGUUUGUUUAUCUGUUCUAAAUCUCGCAGCUAUUCAGUGAUUAUGAGUUGUCAUUAGCAUACCAAACAACAACGACAACAACAACAAUAGCAAAAGUUAAACCGUUUGAUGUCAACAAAAAGUGAUUGCGUGAGGCCGAAAUGUCUGUCUGUGCGUUAAUGGCGGCAUUUGGUGUAAUUUAAUAUUCAUAAGUGUUUUUGCUCCAACAACAGACAACUAUUUAAAACACAUUUAUUCCGAAAAAAAUAUAUAAAUAUAUAUCGAAAAUUGUUAUUAGUAAAUUGUGUAAAAAUAAUUUGUAUGUUCAUUUGCCAAGUGUCUAAACAUAAUUGGAAAACAAAUAAUAAAAUAUAUAUGUAUGUAAAAUAAAUUACUAAUAAUAAUAAUGUUAUACAUAUAUGUGAAGUAAUAUUUGCUUGAAAAUACAUAAAAACGUAAUCAAAGGAUAUACCUAUUUCAAGUGAAGAAAAUACGAAACAACAAUAAGCCAUAAGGAUAAAGAGGAUUAUGCUAUCAUUUGGCGAUAAAAAAAUAAUCAAGAUAACAAAUGAAUGAACGAACGAACGAACGAAUCAUACGAAAUAAGUGUGAAUGCAAUUACUCACUCGGACACGGACAAAUGGAUAAUGUGCACGGGCGAUCUGCUGGAAGGAAAGUAAUUAAAAAUAACCAACAACAGCCAGCAACAACAACACAAAUCAUAUAAUGUGAAAACAAAAAAAAAGAAACGAUGAAUUUAAAUUGAUUAGUGACCGUGGCAAAUGGAAAAUAAAAUACGAAUUUUACUUCAACUGAAUAAAUGAUCAACUUUUUUGAGCGUAUUCGUCUGAUACGAAGGGUUAUUGAAUUACGUAAAUUGUUGUUAUUCAUAUUUACAUUAUGUGGAGUUUGUUCGUGUGCAAUUAAUGCAAAUAAAAAUAAUAAUUUGCCCAGCAUUUUAUGGGAAUGCCGAUUGAAGUCAAACGGCAUAAAAGAAAAACAAAUUAAUUUUCACCAUUACAAAUACAUGUGUGUGUAAUUAAUUGAUUUUAAUUUGCCAUUAAACACAUACACACACACAGGUACUGUUUGUUGUUAUAAUUGAAAACACAAACAAGUCAAUCAAUCGAUGCAAUCAUCCAACAACGCCAUAAAAUUCUUAUUAAAUUGUUAACUAUUCAAUUUCUCAAAAAAGUGAAAAAAGAGCCAAAAAAAAAACUAAAAUAAGAAGUGAAAAUAAAAAUAAAACCAGCUACUCUGUCAGCCAGCCAUCCAGCAAAUUGUGUGCCAUAACAAAUAAUUUAUAUCGAUUUAACUGGUAAUGGCUUUUCACCUUUAUAGCCACAGCCGUCGCCUGCAACUAUAUCAGCCACCACCACCACCACCAGCACUACCACCUCCAUCACAUCAGCAAUAAUAUCAACAGUCCCACUAGUUUGCCACCAGCCAGCCAGCCAGCCAGCCUGCCAACCAGCGAGCUGUAAUCACAGCACCUACUACUUUGCCGCCAGUCACUUCCACCAAUUCCCCCAUGAACAUAUACAUACUACUUACAUAUAUAAAUAUAUAUAUAAUUUCGUGCAAAAGGUUAAUGGUCUCUUGCUAGGGGGUAUACAUUCUCGAGCCACUGAACUGUUGUUGUGUCUUUAGCAACGCUUCCGUUUAUUGAACGCCCGUUUACUUACAACUAAAUCUUUGGCAUUACAACAUAGACAACAAGGCGAUACCGUGAGCUGGCAAUAUUAAAUACUACCACGACAAGGCAAAGCUAGAGGUUUCAACACCCCAUCACUGGUGUUGUUUGUAACAAAAGUUGGAUACACAAAAUUUGAAUAUUGUUACGGGGGGAAGGCGGCAGGGACCUAUUGUCUUUUAUCAUUGAGUGACGUGCUUCAAAUUACCAGGAUUGAGACUUUGGAUUUUGUUGGGCCCAAGUUAAUUUAUUUUCACUUUAUGUGGAAAUACAGGGGAAUAGUAAAUUUAUGUCCUGGAAAAUAAUAACACAUACAUUCAAACUCCCAACAAAGCAUUAUAUACAUAUUUGGAAAUCAAUAAAAUAAAAAAAUAAUAAUUUUUACAUAAAAAAAUAUAUGUGUGUGUAUAAAAAGCACACCUUCGGCAAAAAACAGAGCAACAAGCACUCCCACGCCUAGUCAGUUCAUAUUGAACCUGUCUGACUGACAGAGAAAUCCAUUGAAACACACAGCGACAUUAUCGCGACAAAGAAGCUGUCAACAUGAUUGCAUUUUUGACAUUGUUCUUUUAUAUGACAAGUUUAUCGAUGUGCUACCAAAGACUGUCCGGCAAUCCAAAUCACAAUAAUGUGGAUCAGAAGCCAACGCACUUACCACCGGGUCACUAUUCCCAUAGUCACAGAUGGAAUGAACCCUAUUUCGAUGUGACAAUGCCAAAAAAUAUCACUUCACUUGUGGGGAAGUCUGCCUAUUUGGGGUGUCGAGUUAAGCAUUUAGGCAAUAAAACGGUUGCAUGGAUACGUCAUCGUGAUCUGCAUAUAUUGACAGUUGGCACAUAUACCUACACCACCGAUCAGAGAUUUCAAACGUCCUAUCACCGUGACAUUGAUGAAUGGACAUUACAAAUUAAGUGGGCGCAGCAGCGUGAUGCUGGUGUCUAUGAAUGUCAAAUCUCCACGCAGCCAGUGCGAAGUUUUUCCGUUCAUUUAAAUAUAGUUGUGCCAACAGCGACCAUAUUGGGCGGACCCGAUCUGUAUGUUGAUAAAGGAAGCACAAUUAAUCUAACAUGCGUAAUAAAAUUUAGUACUGAGCCACCAACUCACAUUUUCUGGUACCAUCAAGAUAAGGUACUGAGCGAAGAGACCUCAGGUGGACGCCUCAAGUUUAAGACCGUCAAAUCCGAAGAAACCAAAUCAAUUCUACUUAUUGAUGAUGCCAAUCUCUCUGACUCUGGAAAAUAUUCAUGUUAUCCAUCAAACACAGAAAUUGCCAGUAUACGCGUCCAUGUCCUCCAAGGCGAGAGGCCCGAGGCAAUGCAAACAAAUGCAGCGGGAUCUACUGAUGCAGGAAUCCUAAACCUUUUUGCUGUAAUUCUAACCGCAUUUGUGGCACAAUUUGCAUUAUGUCGCACUUUAGCAACAUUCAUUCGAGUUUUUAUUGCCAACUGUCAGCGAGCUAGAAGUAACAGCCACACUAAAGCCCCAGUCGAGUAUGGCAACAGCAGCAGCAGCACCGCCAGCACCACCACCACCAGUAGCCGCAGCAGAAGGACUUUUAAUAGAUUUUACACCAGCAAUGAUAAUUGUGCAGUCGUCCAUGAAGACAGCUCUCAUGGCGAUGCCAGUGAUGAAACCACAUGCAGCGUUGACAAUGUAAAUGUUUUUGAAAUAUGGAAUACUGAUGAUUGCCGUAAAAAGCGGAAGAGCGUUGAACGAUGGACUAGCACGGCAAACAGUAGAUCAACGCAAAAGAGGGAAACACAAAGUGGCAUCAUCUCUUGCAUCACUCCCAUCCAGUGGAAUCGGACACAUGAUUUACGGUGAUUAAAUACGAGCCGAGAAUACCCAUAAGAAUGAAUAUAUAUACGAGUUAAGUAAAUUAAAAUAAAGUAUGUAAUCACAUUGUAAAUACU